AUUUAAAGGGCAAACUAUUUGAAAGAAUAGGACGCAAAGCCAGGUAUCUGUAGCGUUUGAUGAACGUAUGAUAGACCAGC
rnacentral:ncRNA from 1 species